AAUAUUGGACAAUGGGGGCAACCCUGAUCCAGCGACGCCGCGUGUGUGAAGAAGGCCUGCGGGUUGUAAAGCACUUUUAGUGGGGAUGAAAAGCCUUGUUCUAACAAAGCAGGGUCUUGACCUAACCCAAAGAAAAAGCACCGGCUAACUCUGUGCCAGCAGCCGCGGUAAUACGUAGGGGUCGAGCGUUGUCCGGAGUUACUGGGCGUAAAGCGUGCGCAGGCGGCGUCCUGCGCCCGGCGUGAAAGCCCCCGGCUCAACCGGGGAGGGUCGUCGGGGACGGGGACGCUUGAGGGUAUCAGGGGCUGGUGGAAUUCCCGGUGUAGUGGUGAAAUGCGUAGAGAUCGGGAGGAACACCCGUGGCGAAGGCGGCCAGCUGGGAUACACCUGACGCUGAGGCACGAAGGCGUGGGGAGCGAA
rnacentral:rRNA from 1 species